rnacentral:rRNA from 1 species
CCUACGGGUGGCAGCAGUGGGGCAUAUUGCACAAUGGGCGAAAGCCUGAUGCCGCAACGCCGCGUGAAGGAAGAAGGCCUUCGGGUCGUAAACUUCUGUCCUUGGGGAAGAAGAACUGACGAUACCCAAGGAGGCAGCCCCGGCUAACUACGUGCCAGCAGCCGAGGUAAUACGUAGGGGGCGAGCGUGAUCCGGACUUCUUGGGAGUAAAGAGUACGUAGGUGGCAACCUAAGCGCAGGGUGUAAGGCAAUGGCUCAACCAUUGUUCGCCCUGCGAACUGGGAUGCUUGAGGGCAGGAGAGGAAAGCGGAAUUGCUAGUGUAGCGGUGAAAUGCGUAGAUAUGAGGAGGAACACCAGUGGCGAAGGCGGCUUUCUGGACUGUAACUGACACUGAGGUACGAAAGCGUGGGGAGCAAACAGGAUUAGAUACCCUUGUAGUC